GCCGGAGUGGCGGAAUGGUUUACGCAGAGGACUUAAAAUCCUUGCCCUGAAAAGGGUUGUGGGUUCGAAUCCCACCUCCGGCA
rfam:Candidatus Ryanbacteria bacterium RIFCSPHIGHO2_01_FTLL_45_22 rifcsphigho2_01_scaffold_564, whole genome shotgun sequence.